CGGCUGGGAAGCAUAGUGGUUAAAAAGCUCGCUCGUUACGCCUAAGACCCGGGUUCGAUUCUUCACAUGAGUACAAUGUGUGAAACCCAUUUCUGGCGUCCAGCUCUGUGUUAUUGCUGGAAUUUUGCU